rnacentral:misc_RNA from 1 species
UUAAGUUCAGCGGGUAUUCCUACCUGAUCCGAGGUCAAACCACGAAGGUGCUCGUUGCGUCGAGGCGUGGCCGCGCCGCGUCCCAGCUGCGAGGCGAUUGCUACUGCGCAGAGGAAGCCGCGGCGUGGCCGCCACUGGAUUUCGGGGGCGGCCGCCGCGAUGGCGGGGCCGGUCCCCAACGCCAAGCCCCGCGCGGGGGC